CACCAAACAGAUGCCCAUUGUGGCACUGAACAAGCACAAUCCAGCUACUAUAAUUCAUCUGAUACAAAAAGCUUUAGAAUGCUUCCCUCUGGUUGAUGAUGACAUUCAGUAGCUAGAAAUAAAAAUAUAAAAAAAUUUACCGAGAAAAUGGAAGGAGGAGUGAGAAAUAGAAGCAAAGCGAAAAAACCGGAUUCGAUCUGAGAGAAAUGCAGGUGGAGCUGCGAAUUACUUAAAACAAAGCCAGAACUCCACCUCCUUCUCCGUUUGCUCAAGCAAAAGCUUUCUCUGAGAUUUGUGUUAUGGCUAAGAGAGAGAAAGAAUAGAGAGAGAGAGAGAGAGAGAGAGUGUGUGUGAGACUGUGUGUGCAAUGUGUGUGUGUGUGUGUGUGUGUGUGUGUGUGUGUGAGAAAAGAGAGUAAAAGGGUAGUGUUUAUGCGUGUGGAAGAAUAUUUUAGAUGCUUUUGAAAAUUAUAAGAGUGGAAGCAUCAAUACGACCAAUGAUAAAAAAUAAAAAUUUAAAAAAAAAAAAAAAACGGUUUUUGCUUUCGCACGUGCCAACGCUGACCUUAGUUGCGUGUGACCUACCGACGCCUUACAAAUAAUAAAUUAAAAAUUAAAAAAAAAUUAGAAAAUUAAAAAUAAAUAAAUAAAUAAAAAAUCAUGCUCAUAACAGCUGGCUUUGUUCGGCUUUUUCCUGCGGUUUCUAAUUAUACGGUUUUAAGCUUUACUGUGCUUGGAUUCCUGCCACGUAUGCCAUUGAUAUUGAUUGCCGUUUACCAACUGAUCUCCCUCUGCCUUUUCUGUUGUCAUUUUUUUGACUCUCUAAUGAAUGCAUUUUUUAUUUCUGAAAAAAGAAAAAAUAAAAAAGAUUUCUUUCUAAGUUUUUUUUUUUUUUUCUUUACUAGAAAUAUUAGAAAUAUAUUUUAAUUUUGUAAUAAUUUUUUGAACGAAACUUUAAUCAAACUUUAUAAUGGGAUAAAAAUACAAAAAAAAAAAGAAAAAAAGAAAAAAAAAGGUUUGGUGAGGUCGUCUACGCAUUUAACAAUCACGCGCUUCAUCGGUGUCUGUUUUUUAUUUUUUUUUGGGGUUGUUUUCUCAAAUGCUCUUCAGAGGCUGAGAGACACAGAGAGAGGGGAAAAGAAACAAAAAAAGAGAGAAAAUGACGCGGGGAAAGCAAAAGAUCGAAGCUCAGAGACGAAAUGCAGAGAGGAAUCAGAAGGCAAAAGGGUCUCAGCUUGAAGCCAGAGCAGUUGCUCUGAAAGCCAGCUGCCCAAUCUGCAAGGUGCAAUUAGCAAAUCCAAAGCAACUUGGCGAUCAUUAUGCCUCUAAACAUCCCAAAGAAAAGCCUCCAAGCGAAUCGGAGUGAAUAAUUUUUCUCCUGUGCAAAGAAGUAAAACCAAGAAGAGAUGAAGAAACUGCUCGUCCGUCCUUCUAGAGCAAAUGUAUUUGUAAAACUUUAAUGUAUUUGCUUGAAAUCCCUCAACACCCACUCUUUCCCCCCGUUUUGUGGACCAUUGUUUUACUAUGAAGGAUGAUCGAUAAAUUAUUCCUAUCA